CCGUCGUCAGCAUGUUAGAUAAAGGAUUUAAGUUAUAUGCUGCAUCAUAUAUACACAACUACGAAGAUUAAGCUUCUGGAUUCAUCGCCAGUGCUCCUGUGUGGCAGGUGCUGUUAUGUGCAAUCACACAGUGGCACUGCUCUUCCAAACAGCACACUACUCACAACUCAGAGUGCCGGUUGUCCCCUGUGCAUAGCUGCACCGAAUCUGAACAGCAAUGGCACAAGCCACGGACAGUGGUGUGAAGCCAGGACCUAUCAACUCUAUGAUCUUCACUAAGCCGGUACCAAAUAGGAUGGCCCAGACUGGAGUACGGAGUGGAUUCUACAGAGGCAUUGUGGGUCCAUUACCAGAUCCCUGACCUGACAAGCCCCUUGUGGAAAGUGCCUUUGGGCUGGUGCAGGAGGGCAGUGUUCUGUCAUGUCAGCAGCGGUUUUGACAACCCGGUACAUCACACUACACCGUGAUGCACCACCAACACCGCACUUGCCUCUGGAGGGUAUGACAUCAAGGAAACCCUGCUCGCUCAGACAGCCUGUGAUAUUUUCUCAAACCGCUGCGCUGAACAAGUUUCCAAAGAACAUGCUGUGUGACACAAUAAAUAUCCUUUAACCUGUUAACCUGUGGCUUCUGGAAGAAACUCGGGUGAGUCAGUCACUGCAAACACAUUUGUAUCAUCAAGUGUUUGUCAAAUGAAAAUGAUGUUUUUCUACACUUAGGAUAAUUUUCUAUGUUGCAGUGCAGUAAAGUGCAUGUUUCUUCUGUGUUCAAUCAUACAUGUUCUAAUUGUUAUAAACAGAAAAAAUCUUUUCUUACUUAACUGCUUGAUUCUUAACUUGUUUAACUGAAACAUGAUGAAAUGUCAUAGUAUUAUUUUUUUUAAAUGUCCUUGGCAGUGCAUGUGUCCGCAUUGUAACUUACUAAUAAAAAGUCCUGUGUGUACUUUGGUGUGUGUUUUAUGUUAUUUUAUUGCAAAUAAAUAAUAGUCAUUUGAUUUUACAGUUACACACAAUCUUAUAUCUCUGGCAUGGCAUGGCAUGCCAAGGCAAUAUCGGGUACAUGCAAUUUGAAACCUGACAUUCCAGAGCAAAGCAUGAAGCAC
ensembl:lncRNA